GAUGAACGCUAGCUACAGGCUUAACACAUGCAAGUCGAGGGGCAGCACGAAGUAAGCUUGCUUACUUUGGUGGCGACCGGCGCACGGGUGCGUAACAGGUGUGCAAUCUGUCCAUAAUCGGGGAAUAGCCCAGCGAAAGUUGGAUUAAUGCUCCAUGUGAGCAGGGGAGGCAUCCCCUUUGUUUGAAACGUAAGGAUUAUGGGUGAGCACGCUUCUGAUUAGGUAGUUGGUGAGGUAACGGCUCACCAAGCCGACGAUCAGUAGGGGUUCUGAGAGGAAGGUCCCCCACAUUGGAACUGAGACACGGUCCAAACUCCUACGGGAGGCAGCAGUGAGGAAUAUUGGUCAAUGGACGAAAGUCUGAACCAGCCAAGUCGCGUGAAGGAUGAAGGUUCUAUGGAUUGUAAACUUCUUUUGUCUGAGGGUAAAAAAGCGGACGUGUCCGUUCUUGCAAGUAUCAGACGAAUAAGCAUCGGCUAACUCCGUGCCAGCAGCCG
rnacentral:rRNA from 1 species